rnacentral:rRNA from 1 species
GUGUCAGCCGCCGCGGUAAUACAGAGGGUGCGAGCGUUGUUCGGAAUUAUUGGGCGUAAAGCGCGUGUAGGCGGUGAUGCAUGUCGGGUGUGAAAGCCCUCGGCUUAACCGAGGAAGUGCGCCCGAAACUGCAUCGCUCGAGUGCCGGAGAGGGUGGCGGAAUUCCGGGUGUAGAGGUGAAAUUCGUAGAUAUCCGGAGGAACACCAGUGGCGAAGGCGGCCACCUGGACGGACACUGACGCUGAGACGCGAAAGCGUGGGGAUCAAACAGGAUUAGAUACCCCCGUAGUCC